rfam:Felis catus isolate Cinnamon breed Abyssinian chromosome D3, whole genome shotgun sequence.
GCCUGGGUGGCUCAGUGGGUUAAGUGUCUGACUUUGGCUCAGGACAUGAUCUCACGGUUUGUGGGUUCAAGCCCCACGUGGGGCU